rnacentral:tRNA from 1 species
AAGAGAAUGUUAUACACUAAAAGAAGCUGCUAACUAUCUUUUAAAGCGGUUUAAAUCCGUUUAUUCUCUUA